rnacentral:rRNA from 1 species
ACUCAAAUGAAUAGACGGGGGCCCGCACAAGCAGCGGAGCGUGUGGUUUAAUUCGAUGAUACACGAAGAACCUUACCAGGGUUUGACAUACAAGUGGUAGUGAAGCGAAAGCAGAACGACCCUUCGGGGAGCUUGAACAGGUGCUGCAUGGCUGUCGUCAGCUCGUGUCGUGAGAUGUUCGGUUAAGUCCGCUAACGAGCGCAACCCUUGUUGUGUGUUACACGUAUCACGCAAGACCGCCGGUAGAAAGCCGGAGGAAGGUGGGGAUGACGUCAAGUCAGCAUGGCCUAUAUAUCCUGGGCUACACACACGCUACAAUGGUCGGUACAAUGGGUAGCUAAGCCGCGAGGCGGAGCCAAUCCUAAAAAGCCGGUCUCAGUUCAGAUUGCAGGCUGCAACUCGCCUGCAUGAAGAUGGAGUUGCUAGUAACCGCAGGUCAGCGAUACUGCGGUGAAUACGUUCCCGGGCCUUGCACACACCGCCCGU